rnacentral:rRNA from 1 species
AGUGAACGCUGGCGGCAGGCCUAACACAUGCAAGUCGAACGACAGCACAGUGAGAUCGUGCCCUUACGGGUAGCGAGUGGCGGGCGAGUAAGACAUACAUAGCAAUCUAAUUUUACGUGGGUGACAUCGUGGGGCAGCUUACGCUACUGCCUCAUAUGUCCUACGGGUGGAAGCAGUAGUGCAUGACGCCUUGCGUGAUUCAAUGAGACGAUGUCGGAUUAGCUAGUUGGUUUGGUAACGGCUCACCAAGGCGACGAUGCGUAGCUGGCCUGAGAGGAUGAUCGGCCACACUGGAACUGAGACACGGUCCAGACUCCUACGGGAGGCAGCAGUGGGGAAUAUUCGACAAUGGGCGAAAGCCUGACCGAGCCAUGCCGCGUGAGUGAAGAAGGUCUUCGGGUCGUAAAGCUCUGUUGUUGGGAAAGAAAAGAGGUAUGUGAAAAUCUGGACGUUUUGACGGUACCUAAAGAGAAAGCACCGGCUAACUACGUG